rnacentral:rRNA from 1 species
CGGAGGAUCCAAGCGUUAUCCGGAAUCAUUGGGUUUAAAGGGUCCGUAGGCGGUCUAGUAAGUCAGUGGUGAAAGCCCAUCGCUCAACGGUGGGACGGCCAUUGAUACUGCUGGACUUGAAUUAUUAGGAAGUAACUAGAAUAUGUAGUGUAGCGGUGAAAUGCUUAGAGAUUACAUGGAAUACCAAUUGCGAAGGCAGGUUACUACUAAUGGAUUGACGCUGAUGGACGAAAGCGUGGGUAGCGAACAGGAUUAGAUACCCUGGUAGUCCACGCCGUAAACGAUGGAUACUAGCUGUUGGGCGCAAGUUCAGUGGCUAAGCGAAAGUGAUAAGUAUCCCACCUGGGGAGUACGUUCGCAAGAAUG